AGUAAAGUCAUGACAUUAUGAUACAUUAACAAGUCAUGAAUUAAUGUUAAGUUAAUGAUAUUUUGCCCCCAUGUCAUGACAAAACUUAAAAUAUUUACAUAUCUUUUAUAUCAUUAAGAUAUUCUUUUCAAUGCAUUUUUAUAAUUUUAUCAAUAAGUGAUUUAGACUUUUAGACCUCUUAACCUACCCACAAACCUAAACCUACCCAUUUUAUAAACAUGCAAGAAAAUAACCAUUUUAGUAUAGCAUUAAAAAAGUUUUUAUAAUCGCUAAUCCCACUCCUACAUCUACACCUAAACAUAGCUAUUUCUGUACAGUAGAAGAAAAACAUGACAGACAGAUAAAUGCAAUUACAAUCAUUUAUUUACAAUAGUCUAACCUUGAGGUCAUAAACGCAUGAAUUAGCAUUUCUGCAUUUGACGUUGAGAGCAUAGGUCGCAAUUUAGAUAUGUUUUUGAUAUGGAAAAACGCAGUUUUACAGAUGCUAGAAACAUGGCUUUCAAAUGAAAGAUUGAUAUCUUCAUUUGAGCAGAUUUUAUGUGUUAUGGACGGACUCGGACACAAAGGUGAUGGGUGAGUAUGAGGUGGUUUAUUAAAACAGGUUCAGCACACAGGUGAAUCGAGAGGUCUAGAGAGGUGAGUAGAUGUCUUGUAAACAGCAAUUCUAGUGAGGAUGAUAAGGUGGUGAUAACUCUUUUCUUCUUCCAGGAAUACAGGUAGACGAGACAGGUUGAAUCCAGGGAGUGACACACACACACACUUCGUGCUGGGACUUCUGCAGAGAGAGAGGGCGACACAAGGAGGAGGAACACAGGAGGUAAGUUAUACAAGAUUACAAAAAGCGCUGGACAGAUCACUUAAGCAAGCAGUAGAAACGAGGUGGAAUACCAGACUUGCAAUGCUGCAAUCUGUAAGGGAUGCUCUGCUGUCUGUUAAGCUGCACGAGAUCCUGCUUCACUGAAAUGAACUCCGUUAUGACAACAACAUAGACCCAGACCUUCUUGAAGACAUUAUCCGCCUUCUGGAACCUUUUGAUGAGGCUACCAGGCACAUCUCCACUGAUCAGACACCUAGUCUUCACCUUGUCCUCUCAAUCAAGGCAACCCUGCUGAGGGGUUUGUUGCUUCAGGAUGGAGACAGUGCUAUUGUGAAAGAGCUAAAAGGGAUAUUAGGAAAUUCAAAAUUCACCUUUACCACAAGAUAGCCACAGCACUCUCUCCUAGCCUGAGGUGUUUCUUAAGAAAAACUCUAAACGCUGAGGAAUACGAAGAGGUUAUCAACACUCUGGCAGCAACAACAGAAAGACUAGAGAUAGAGGAGAGAACCAGUGUCCAACAGGAAGAUCCACCACACCUAGUGGCCAAAGGCACAGAGGUGCACAGUUUCUUCUCAAGCUGUGUGCAGGAGGAGGAGAGGGAGGACCGUGGUAACACUAAUGAGUCAAGGAGCCGCGAGUUGGUGCUGAAAUAUAUGAAUGAGUCUACAAAGAUGACCAGGCAGCUUCUUCUCAACUUCUGGCAGGAGAUGUCAGGUGGGCUGGUGCCAGUUGCCAGGAAGCUGCUGGCAAUCCCAGAAUGCUGGAAGAUUAAUUGAAGAGAGGCGCACCAGCCUCAGUCCAGAAUCUGUGGACACUCUCUUGUUCUUGCAUAGCAACAGUGGGAUUUCAUCUUAAUGGAAACUUAUAUGUUAUAUGAAAAUGAAAAUUUGGUUAUCUAAUGUGCCUGUGUGUUUACAUGGAUGAUUUGCAUUAAAUUUAAUGAAGUUUAAACUGGCUUUAAUUCAAUAAAA